rnacentral:lncRNA from 1 species
UCCAGGUCGCCUUCACUGGAAAUCAGUUUGCUGAAACUAUUGAUACGCAGUUCUUAACGCUGAAGAAAAGGAGGUCCUGCGCCUUGACCACACGAGCGUGGCCCUUCCUCCAGACCCCCGCUCCGGACGCGCCCACCUAGCGUCUCCCAGGAACCAUGCGGCAGCUCAAGGGGAAGCCCAAGAAGGAGACGUCCAAGGACAAGAAGGAGCGGAAGCAGGCCAUGCAGGAGGCCCGGCAGCAGAUCACCACCGUGGUGCUGCCCACGCUGGCCGUGGUCGUGGUCCUGAUCGUGGUGUUUGUGUACGUGGCCACGCGCCCCACCAUCACCGAGUGAGGGCCCGCCCCGAGGGAGGAGGCUCGGGAGGGGAGAGCAGAAGAAGGGCCUUCAUCCGCUGCGAUUUUCCUGAUGCCGAGCUCUGAGCAGGAGCCCCCGUCUGCUCUGGUCUGUGACUUGAUUAAAGGUUCUCCACUUUUCUUGGGAGGGAAUAGGAAACGUUUUAUCAGUGAACGUGCCAUACACUUUAUGGUCCACUUCAUGUGCCUUUCAGACUUCAAAGCCGUGUGUGUGUGUGUGUGUGUGUGUGUGUGUGUGUUUCUCGCCUGCAAUCGAUGUGUAGCCCCACCUGGUGAGAGGAGGCGUCUCUGGGUCACGGAUCAGUUGGAAUCAGUGCUCACCCCAUCCCUGUUGUUUUGAACAUGACUUUCCUACACGUGUUCACAAUUUCCAAAGGGACUGUGUUUCUUCUCUGUGCUUCAUGUGAUUUGAAAUAUGUCGACUCAAAAGUGAAAUAUUUAUUUUUUGAAUAAAGGAGAUGAUAGCCUUAAAUUGGAUGUUUAUCUUGUUUUGCCAGGAGGUGGCCUUGCUCUGUCCGGGGAGCCCCACCCCCGCUGGGCAGUGUCCCUCUUACCCUCCGUCCCCUGGACAUUCUCCACCCCCC